rnacentral:tRNA from 1 species
UCCCUGGUGGUCUGGUGGUUAGGACUUGGCACUAUCACUGCUGGGGCCCGGGUUCCAUUCCUGGUCAGGGAA